rnacentral:rRNA from 1 species
UAGGGAAUCUUCCGCAAUGGACGCAAGUCUGACGGAGCAACGCCGCGGGAGUGAAGAAGGAUUUCGGUUCGUAAAACUCUGUUGUUAGAGAAGAACAGCGCAGAGAGUAACUGUUAUGCGUGUGACGGUAUCUAACCAGAAAGCCACGGCUAACUACGUGCCAGCAGCCGCGGUAAUACGUAGGUGGCAAGCGUUGUCCGGAUUUAUUGGGCGUAAAGCGAGCGCAGGCGGUCAAUUAAGUCUGAUGUGAAAGCCCCCGGCUCAACCGGGGAGGGUCAUUGGAAACUGAUUGACUUGAGUGCAGAAGGGGACAGUGGAAUUCCAUGUGUAGCGGUGAAAUGCGUCGCUAUAUCGAGGAACACCGGUGGCGACAGCGGCUCUCUGGUCUGUAACUGACGCUGACGCUCGAAAGCGUGGGGAGCGAACAGG